AGAGUUUGAUCCUGGCUCAGAAUGAACGCUGGCGGCGUGCUUAACACAUGCAAGUCGGAUGUGCCGCAAGGUGCAUGGCAGACGGGUGAGUAACGCGUAGGGAACCUACCUCUUUGUGGGGAAUAACGUUCCGAAAGGAAUGGUAAUACCGCAUGAGAUCCACGACUGGGAUGUUGUGGAUGAAAGCCGGGGAUCGAAAGACCUGGCGCAAGGAGAGGGUCCUGCGUCUGAUUAGCUAGUUGGUGGGGUAACGGCCUACCAAGGCGACGAUCAGUAGCCGGCCUGAGAGGGUGAUCGGCCACACUGGAACUGAGACACGGUCCAGACUCCUACGGGAGGCAGCAGUGGGGAAUUUUGCGCAAUGGACGAAAGUCUGACGCAGCAACGCCGCGUGGGUGAUGAAGGUCUUCGGAUUGUAAAACCCUGUCGUCAGGGACGAAGGUUGGGAUCCUAAUACGAUUUCAGCUUGACGGUACCUGGAGAGGAAGCCCCGGCUAACUCUGUGCCAGCAGCCGCGGUAAUACAGAGGGUGCAAGCAUUAUCCGGAGUGACUGGGCGUAAAGAGUUGCGUAGGUGGUCUGUUAAGUGAAUAGUGAAAUCUGGUGGCUCAACCACACAGACUAUUAUUCAAACUGGCAGACUCGAGAGUAGCAGAGGUAACUGGAAUUUCCUGUGUAGGAGUGAAAUCCGUAGAUAUAGGAAGGAACACCAAUGGCGUAGGCAGGUUACUAGGCUAUUUCUGACACUGAGGCACGAAAGCGUGGGGAGCGAACCGGAUUAGAUACCCUGGUAGUCC
rnacentral:rRNA from 1 species